AGCUUGAAGGAUACAUUUUAAGUGAAUUCUGCCCAGCGUUAUGUAUUAGCGGCCGCAGUACCUUGACUGUGCUAAGGUAGCAUAAUCAAUUGGCUUUUAAUUGAAGUCUGGAAUGAAAGGUUUGUUAAAGAAUUUUCUGUCUCUUUUUAGCUUUUAUGAAUUUAUUUAUAAAGUGAAAAUACUUUUUAUUAGAAAAAAGACGAGAAGACCCUUAGAAUUUUUAUUAAAAGGUUUUUUAAAUCUCUUAUUUUUGUUGGGGCGACAAUGAAACAU
rnacentral:rRNA from 1 species